GGAGCGGGGGCAGGAUGGUAAUGCAGCAGAUUGCUAAUCUGUAGGCCCUUCGGGGUCACCGGGUUCGACUCCCGGUCGCUCCGCCA
rnacentral:tRNA from 2 species